AAUCCUUAUCAGUAGUUAAUCGGUUUGGGUCCGAACGGCACAAUGUCUGGGUCUGCCUAUUAGUGACCCCUGUAGAACAUCACAUUACAAAAAGUACAAACUUAUUGUCAGUUAUAUAAUAACUGUAUUUAUAAAAUAAACAAAAAAUGAAUCUAUAAAUAAAUAAAUAAACAAAAAUAAAUAAAUUAACCUAAUUGGAGACACCAUUUCCAGCCCCACUGGUGGAGGUCGUGUUGCCCAGCUAACAAUGCUAAUAAGCUAGCUAGCAGUGUGAGAUUUAAGCAUUCGUCUCCUGCUUCUAAACAUUUCGCACCUAAAAAAUAGUCCUUUAGUUUUUAUCAUUAUUAUUUUCAGUUUUAUCAUCAUAAUAUACAUUUUUCCUUCAGCAUAUGUUGUUAGUUACCAGUAUUAGCCCUGUUCCUUCUGGUCUUGUAAGUAAAUCUUUAUAAUGUGGUGGGUGAACUGUGUGAGUGACAGAUAUAGCACAUAUCAUUUUUAUUACAUAGGGAGCUAAAAAUAAACUUAAGCUUUAGGUAACUCACCAUCAGCAAUGUAGUAAUAUCUGUCAGCUAAGCUAACGAUGAUAGCUAAGAAUCUAACUUGCUAACAGGGGUCUAGUGACCUAUAAUCUCAUGGGACCUCCUUAUAAAGAAGAAUAGUAUCAUAUAGCCUAUAUUCUUAAUCAUAGUAAUUCAUAAUAACAAUUUAGAGGUUCAUACGUUUAUUAUUAAGUAGGUAAAAAAAAAACUUUAAAGCAAGAAUUUGUUAAGUAUUUUGUCCAGUGAAAAACAAGUAUCUCCAAAACAACACCUUCUUAGCUUUCGAUGGAAGUCAAUGUAGAAAGAGGGUUUCUUAGGUCAUCUUGGAGAAUUUCUAUUGGUCCAUUUAUCAACAAAUUCUGACAGAAUUGACAGAAAUGCAUUAUUGUUGCUUUUUAAAUGCUAUUUUUUUACUUGAAACUAACUCAACUUUAACAAUGUAGGUCAAUAUACAGUAUUUUAUUCAAUGUCAUUUUGUAGCAAUUAUAUCUGUCCAUUCAUUAUUAAAGUUAGUAAAAAGUGAAAAAUGGCAAUAUGAUUUUUUACAAUGUUUUUGUGUGACAGUCAAAUAUUAGUUUAUUCCCACAAAGCUUUGAUUUGAAUAGUUUGAUAGAGUUGGACAAGAUUCACAUAUUAGAUUAGUUUCUGCAUGUCUGCAUCCAAUUGGGAGUUAAUUUAUUUAAAACAUAAAUGUCAGAUUUGUAAACAGAGGGUAGAUUUUUUGUAAGGCUACAAACCCUGUGCUUAACUAUAAUAAAGUCUGCUGUUGCUCUGUUUUCAGGAAGUUUCCAGGUACCACUGCUUUGAGGAAAAUAACCCAUUUGUUUAUAGUAAGAGGAUGUUGAGUGAGGAACGAUAAACCCAGGAUUUAUAUUUAUUCCUGCUGUCUACGAUACAGUGUGUCACAACAUCCUCAAAAUAUGAAGCUUGCUCUUUUUUACUGAUGGUGCAAACCCAAAUGGGGAACUAAACAAUAGCAAAGCUUCACUGAGUGUGAAACUGGAACAUCGGACCCAAAUGAUACAAAAUAAAAGAUGAUUCUUCUAGAUCACAUUAAGUCAGGGGCAGAAGGAAGAUGUUUAAUGUGGGUACAGUAAAAA